rnacentral:rRNA from 1 species
GGAGGAAAGCAGGGGAUCGCAAGACCUUGCGCUCAUUGAGCGGCCGAUGCCUGAUUAGCUAGUUGGUGAGGUAAAGGCUUACCAAGGCGAAGAUCAGUAGCUGGUCUGAGAGGACGACCAGCCACACUGGGACUGAGACACGGCCCAGACUCCUACGGGAGGCAGCAGUGGGGAAUUUUGGACAAUGGGGGAAACCCUGAUCCAGCCAUGCCGCGUGAGUGAAGAAGGCCUUCGGGUUGUAAAGCUCUUUCAGCCGGAACGAAACGGUCACGGCUAAUACCUGUGACUACUGACGGUACCGGAAGAAGAAGCACCGGCUAAAUACGUGCCAGCAGCCGCGGUGAUACGUAGGGUGCGAGCGUUAAUCGGAAUUACUGGGCGUAAAGCGUGCGCAGGCGGUUUUGUAA